rnacentral:rRNA from 1 species
AUACGGAGGGUGCGAGCGUUAAUCGGAAUUACUGGGCGUAAAGCGUACGUAGGCGGUUUGCUAAGUCAGAUGUGAAAGCCCCGGGCUUAACCUGGGAACUGCAUUUGAUACUGGCAGACUAGAGUAUGAUAGAGGGGGGUAGAAUUCCUGGUGUAGCGGUGAAAUGCGUAGAUAUUAGGAGGAAUACCAGUGGCGAAGGCGGCCCCCUGGAUCAAUACUGACGCUGAGGUACGAAAGCGUGGGGAGCGAACAGAAUUAGAAACCCUAGUAGUCC